rnacentral:rRNA from 1 species
AUUGAACGCUGGCGGCAUGCUUUACACAUGCAAGUCGAACGGCAGCGCGGGCUUCGGCCUGGCGGCGAGUGGCGAACGGGUGAGUAAUGCAUCGGAACGUGCCCAGUAGUGGGGGCUAGCCCGGCGAAAGCCGGAUUAAUACCGCAUACGACCUGAGGGUGAAAGCGGGGGACCGAAAGGCCUCGCGCUAUUUGCGCUGCCGAUGUCGGAUUAGCUAGUUGGUGGGGUAAAGGCUUACCAAGGCGACGAUCCGUAGCUGGUCUGAGAGGACGACCAGCCACACUGGGACUGAGACACGGCCCAGACUCCUACGGGAGGCAGCAGUGGGGAAUUUUGGACAAUGGGGGCAAGCCUGAUCCAGCCAUGCCGCGUGCGGGAAGAAGGCCUUCGGGUUGUAAACCGCUUUUGUUCGGGAAGAAAUCCUCUGGGCUAAUACCCCGGGGGGAUGACGGUACCGGAAGAAUAAGCACCGGCUAACUACGUG